rnacentral:tRNA from 1 species
GGGCGGUUAGCUCAGUUGGCUAGAGCGCUUGCUCGACACGCAAGAGGUCACUGGUUCAAGUCCAGUACCGCCCACCA